GACAGCAGUAGCCGCGGGAAUACGGAGGAUCCAAGCGUUAUCCGGAAUCAUUGGGUUUAAAGGGUCCGUAGGCGGUCUUGUAAGUCAGUGGUGAAAGCCCAUCGCUCAACGGUGGAACGGCCAUUGAUACUGCAGGACUUGAAUUAUUGGGAAGUAACUAGAAUAUGUAGUGUAGCGGUGAAAUGCUUAGAGAUUACAUGGAAUACCAAUUGCGAAGGCAGGUUACUACCAAUUGAUUGACGCUGAUGGACGAAAGCGUGGGUAGCGAACAGGAUUAGAUACCCCGGUAGUCCCUGUCUCUUAUAC
rnacentral:rRNA from 1 species